rnacentral:lncRNA from 1 species
UCACUGGAGAAAAUAUACUGCUCCAUACUUAUGUUCCUGGUUGUUACAUUCAGCGAACAUUUAUUGAGCAUUUAUUAUUUUCCAGGCAGCAUGGCUGGGAAUACAGAUACUGAAAUAUACAGUCAUUGGCCUCAAGAAACUCACAUUCUAGUGGAGAGAAAGACAAGUAAAAAGAUGUUUAUGAAUCUGUGGUAAGUGCUUAAGUGGAGCCACACCUAACAUAGUUGGAGGAAGAACUGGGGGUCAGAUAAAGGGUUUGGAUGAAGAAGAAGAUGUGUUAGACAAAUCUUGAAAGACCAGAGAGCCAUAGUCUGCUGAGGAAGACGAAGUAGGUAUUCCAGGAGUUUGGGCUCAGAUAUUUCUCUACUUUGUGACUAUUUGGAACUUGGGUAGGGGCUGAAGAAGAAUCACAAGAAGUUUUUAAUGGCUUCAUGGAGGAGGAGUCUCAUCCUUGAGGGGGCUGUUCCAGUUGUGAAAUGGAAAUGGUGGAGAGCCAUAACAGCAGAAGGGGUUAUGAGAUCAGAGAUAAUGGAUGUUUCAAUGGCAAUCCACUUGUGUGGAUCAGACCCCUCCACAUUAACCAUCAGAGCCACAGUCCCCAGUGCCUUGACACUACAUAUAACUUGGAAAAGGAUGAUGAUUGUAGGUUGAGUAGACUCAUUCAAGCUGAUUCUUCUACUUUGAAAUCUGACUAACUAGGUGAUCUGAACAAGUUAACAGCUCUGAGGUUGAGUUUCCCCAACUGGAGAAUGGGAAUGAAAUUCCUUUCCUUUUAGACCUGGUAAGAAGGUUAAAUGUGUUAAUGUGUAGGGGAUGGUAGAAGCUCAGUUCCUGCAUGGAGGCUCCCCACCUCCCUGUUUAUGGAAGGCCAUCUGGUUGCUAUCAAAAUAUGCAGUCUUCUGAGAAAUGUAUUUGUUUGUCCAAAACAAAC